rnacentral:rRNA from 1 species
AAGCCUAGGGUUAAUACCCGGUGUAGUCUUUGGACUUGACCUUACUAGAAGAUAGCACCGGCUAACUCCGUGCCAGCAGCCGCGUUAAUACGGAGGGUGCAAGCGUUAAUCGGAAUUACUGGGCGUAAUAGCGCGCGUAGGCGGUCGGGUCAGUCGGAUGUGAAAGCCCUGGGCUUAACCUAGGAAUUGCAUUCGAUACUGCUCGUACUAGAGUAUGGGAGAGGGAAGUGGAAUUUCCGGUGUACGUCGGUGUAAAUGCGUAGAUAUCGGAAGGAACACCAGUGGCGAAGGCGACUUCCUGGCCCAAUACUGACGCCUCAGGUGCGAUAAGCGUUGGGUUGAGCACUACAGGUAUUAGUAUACUCUGGUAGUCCACGCCGUAAUACGUAUGAGAACUAGAUGUCGGGGGAAUUUACUCCUUCGGUAUCGCUAUGCUAAACCGCAAUUUAAGUUCUCCGUCUCGGUGGGGAGUACGCCGGGCAAUCGUUAAUCAACUCA